AAUCCAUGGAUAGGACAUUUCCUAAGCAGAUCUUUGAACCUUUCCCAUGCUUCAUACAGUGUUUUAUCCUUUAGUUGCCUGAAGGAUGUUACGUCAUUUCUCAGUUU
rfam:Gossypium hirsutum cultivar TM-1 unplaced genomic scaffold scaffold257.1, whole genome shotgun sequence